CCUACGGGGGACAGCAGUCGAGAAUCUUUCACAAUGGGCGAAACCCUGAUGGUGCGACGCCGCGUGGGGGAAUGAAGGUCUUCGGAUUGUAAACUCCUGUCAUGUGGGAGCAAAUUAAAAAGAUAGUACCACAAGAGGAAGAGACGACUAACUCUGUGCCAGCAGCCGCGGUAAUACAGAGGUCUCAAGCGUUGUUCGGAAUCACUGGGCGUAAAGCGUUCGUAGGCUGUAUCGUAAGUCUAGUGUGAAAGGCGCGGGCUCAACCCGCGGACGGCACAUGAUACUGCGAGACUAGAGUGAUGGAGGGGGAACCGGAAGUCUCGGUGUAGCAGUGAAAUGCGUAGAUAUCGGGAGGAACACUCGUGGCGAAGGCGGGUUCCUGGACAUUAACUGACGCUGAGGCACGAAGGCCAGGGGAGCGAAAGGGAUUAGAUACCCUUGUAGUC
rnacentral:rRNA from 1 species